CACGUAGGGUGCGAGCGUUGUCCGGAUUUACUGGGCGUAAAGAGCGCGCAGGCGGUCGUUCAAGUCGAGUGUGAAAGCCCCCGGCUCAACUGGGGAGGGUCACUCGAUACUGAUCGACUCGAAGGCAGAAGAGGGAAGCGGAAUUCCCGGUGUAGUGGUGAAAUGCGUAGAUAUCGGGAGGAACACCAGUGGCGAAGGCGGCUUUCUGGUCUGCUCUUGACGCUGAGGCGCGAAAGCUAGGGUAGCAAACGGG
rnacentral:rRNA from 1 species